GCUUUAGUUAACAGUCAGCAUCACCCUUGGUAGAUUUUUUUCAUGUGUUAUUUUUUGUUCCCUCCGUACCGGAGAUGAGCUAGGUUUUCGAAUUGUUUGAUUAUAAGAGUUUUCGAUCUGCAGAGUUGAGUUCGAGUGAAGCUGAUUUGAGGUUUGGUUCUAAUUGCAGGCUAAGGGAUUGGAAUUUCUGGUGAUCCCGCCUCAUAUUGUGACCAGAAAAGGUAAACCCUGGCUUCUUAUUCAUGAUUCAUGAUUCAGGGUUCCUUUAGGGCUGUAUGAAAUUCUUGAUAUAUAUGUUAACAGAGAAACUGAAGGAACAGUGGAAGUAGGUUAGAAGCCACCUGUGUGGCAGAUGUGUGGAAAAGGGGGGCCACGCUGUUGGGUUAUCAUCGGUAACCCACGCGUUUUGGAGAAAGCGAGAGAAAGGGAAGAAGCAACCGGUAAACACAAUAGAGAUAGAGAGAGAACGAUGUGAGAGAAUGAUGAUAGAGAUGAGGGAGAGAGAGGGAAAGAGAGAGACAGAGAGUGUCACGUAGCCGGCCAUGGCCUCCGGCAGAUCGCUGAACGAAGAUGGUAGCUACGGUUUCUGGAAUAUCUAAUUCCGGCAGAGGGGAUUUGGUUCAACACAGCAGCGGCGGCAGUGGAUUUUAGGGUUCCGACGACCCUCUUGGUACUCCGACGAGAAGCUCCAGGCUUGAAUGCCACUUUCCGGUUAGAACGGCUGCAACCAGAGUUAGAUAGACAUCGAGUUUAGGUGACGACCAACCCUCUGACGAACGAAGUUCAGCCUGGGAAUGGAGGCAAAAAGGAGAAGAUAAUUUAUGCAGUUUUUUUGCUAACUUGUCGGAAGCUUUGGCGAAACAGAAACGAGAGUAUUUUCGAUAAAAAGUUCACUUCAGUAGCGAUCUUGGUCGAUGACAUAAAGGUUGAAUCCUUUUGGUGGAUGGUGAAGCGAAACAAACUCACUGGCUAGACAUGGAAAGAUAGUGCAGAUUCGAGUGGAUAGACUUUUACCUAGCAUUUGGUUUGUUUCUUUGUUUUUGUUUUGGGUCUGUCCAGUUUUGUUUGGGGUCUGUAGCUUCUCUUAGCUUCUUGCUAACAGAGCAGUGGUUGUUUUUAUGGAAUAAAGAUCUCUAUCGAAAAACAACAUGAACCAUAGGAAAAUUGACCAAUAGGGACUAAAUUAGUAUGAUCAUUAUUGAAUUUCGGACACAACCCGAAAAUCGUAUCAUACAUAUGAACCCGAACAUGACUCGUUUAACCCGAUUUUUUUAAUUUUUUUUUUUCUGAAUUUAAUAUAUUAAAAUUAAAAUUUACUUAAAAAACAUAAUUGCAUAUAAUAAUAUCAUAUCUAAAAAUAUAAUUUUAAUUUUCGUUUCCCACCACUUCCCAAAAAAUUCUAAUUUCCCUCUCUUUCUCUUGUGUAUCCAACCUAAAACAUGUUCAUUUUUAGUUUUCCCCCUAUUUUCCUUUAACCCUAAAUGGAUUCCCCUCCCAAAAUUCAUACCCAGAUCUCGUACUAAUACCCCUCUUCUGUUUUUGUUUAACAAGCUUCUUGUUUUGGCAUUACGAUAAAGAGAGAAAGAAACCAGACACGAAGCAUCUCCUUUGAAUCCAUCUAAUCUCUCCUCUCAUUAAGCAUCAUGGAAGUUGAAGAAGAAGAAAUCAUGGAAGUUGAAGAAGAAAGCGAUUUCUCGGAUAG
rnacentral:lncRNA from 1 species